CUAUUGGUGGCCGGUUGUGUUGCAUGUGCGUAAGAAGGUAUUUUAAAUUUUGAACUCUCUAGACUAGAUCUUGAUCAAGUAUCCAAGAAUGCUUCAUUAGAUAACUUUCAUACUUGUUGCAAUAUAUUGUAUACUAGGAUGGUUAUAAUUCAUGAAUUUGAUAAUCUUAAUUAAUAUUAUUAUGGUAUCAAUGCUGUGGCUAGGCAUACAAUAUUAUAUGAAUAUGAUAGUUAGAUGUGCAUAUGAUUUGGGGGUAGAUUUGGCUGAUUUGGAUGUUACAUCAUGGCCUUUUGAUGUGAUUGAUUCUAUCCCGAAGCUGUAUGAUGGAUAGGUUAGUAUUAUAUAUAUAUAUAUAGAAGCAAAUAUAUUUCAGUCUUCUCUGAUUUGGCACUAUUUCUCAGUACUUUUUUAUGUAUGCUUUGGCACUAUUCCUUAGCACUUUUCCUUCUUUUGCUUCAGUUCUAUAUUUUUAUGAUUGUUGCUGUUUGUUUUCUCCAGGCUGUAUUAGCAUUUACCGACUAUUACAUUUUUGGAAGAUGGACAUCCUCAGUUUUCGAUCUAUCAAACUAUAAUAUAUUGGGAGAUAGUGGCUGACAUGGGUGCCGAGAUUUUAAGUUAUGGUUGCAAUUUUGUCACUUCUUUGAUUUUGUCCCUUUACUGCUUUACUUUCAAGGGCC
rnacentral:lncRNA from 1 species